rnacentral:pre_miRNA from 1 species
AGGUUCGGAGCUUGAUCCUCUUGGAGGCUGAAAUCGCACCUUCUCGGGACAGCACACAUGAGUUUAUGAGGUAAUUGACUGUGAAAUCGUGGUUGGUUUCYGUCUGAGGUGAAAUAUCUGCAAAGUGGUUUUAAGACRAWWUYGUCUUUAGGUUCAASWCAGAAAUCUCGGAARCCAACCACGAUUUCACAGUCAAUUACCUYAUAAACUCACGUACGCUGUCCCGAGAAGUGUGAUUUCAGCCUCCAAGAGGGUCAAGCUGCGGUCCC